GGCCAAAAAGAAAAUAGUAAGUAAUGUAAAGGCGCUAUGCCUGGAUGAUUAUUGACGCUGAGGCGCGAAAGCGUGGGGAGCAAACAGGAUUAGAUACCCUGGUAGUCCACGCCGUAAACGAUGAGCACUAGUUAUUGGAGGUAUUGACUCCUCCAGUGACGCAGCUAACGCAUUAAGUGCUCCGCCUGGGAAGUACGGUCGCAAGACUAAAACUCAAACAAAUUGACGGGGGCCCGCACAAGCGGUGGAUUAUGUGGUUUAAUUCGAAGCAACGCGCAGAACCUUACCUAGGCUUGAACUCCUACGAAUCCGGGGUAAUGCCUGGAGUGUCCGCAAGGAAAUGUAGUGAGAGGUGCUGCAUGGCUGUCGUCAGCUCGUGUUGUGAAAUGUUGGGUUAAGUCUCGCAACGAGCGUCAACACCUUUAUCGUCCGUAGACAAGCAUAAAGUUGAGCAAAAUCUGACGAGACUGCCAAGGUUAACCAGGAGGAAGGUAGGGAUGACGUCAAGUCCUCAUGAAAGCCCUUAUGUCUAGGGCUACACACGUAAUACAAUGGCGCGUACAGAGGGAAGCGAACUCGCGAGGGGGAGCAAAUCUCAAAAAGCGCGUCUCAGUCCGGAUUGGAGUCUGCAACUCGACUCCAUGAAGUUGGAAUCGCUAGUAAUCGGAGAUCAGCACGCUCCGGUGAAUACGUACCCGGGCCUUGUACACACCGCCCGUCACACGCAUGCCCGAGUUGUUUUCAAUUUUAAGACGUGACUA
rnacentral:rRNA from 1 species